rnacentral:rRNA from 1 species
UACGAAGGGGGCUAGCGUUGCUCGGAAUGACUGGGCGUAAAGGGCGCGUAGGCGGAUGUUUUAGUCGGGCGUGAAAGUCCUGGGCUCAACCUGGGGACGGCGUUCGAUACGGGGCAUCUAGAGUGGGGCAGAGGGUCGUGGAAUUCCCAGUGUAGAGGUGAAAUUCGUAGAUAUUGGGAAGAACACCGGUGGCGAAGGCGGCGACCUGGUCCUUGACUGACGCUGAGGCGCGAAAGCGUGGGGAGCAAACAG